UACGUAGGGGGCAAGCGUUGUCCGGAAUCAUUGGGCGUAAAGCGCGUGUAGGCGGCCCGGUAAGUCCGCUGUGAAAGUCGGGGGCUCAACCCUCGAAAGCCGGUGGAUACUGUCGGGCUCGAGUGCGGAAGAGGCGAGUGGAAUUCCUGGUGUAGCGGUGAAAUGCGCAGAUAUCAGGAGGAACACCGAUUGCGAAGGCAGCUCGCUGGGACGUUACUGACGCUGAGGAGCGAAAGCGUGGGAGUCGAACAGG
rnacentral:rRNA from 1 species